rnacentral:lncRNA from 1 species
AAAAAAGGAAAAAAGUAUAUACACAUGUGAAUGUGCACUCACAUAAAUAUGUACAUGUAUAUCCACCACACAUGUAUAUCCACCACACAUGUAUAUCCGCCACACACAUAUAUACGUUUUAGUAUACCUCCAUUUCAUUUCAUUUCAUUUCUUUUUUUUUUUUUUUUUUUUUUUUUUUUCAGUGAACUACCUAACGAAUGAGUAUAACAAUCUCCUCUGCUCUGUUAAAGAAAUACAAAAAGAUGUUUAUUUUUUUUUGAAAUCCGCAUACUAUGGUAAACCGUUGAAUAAGAGUUUUUUACAAAUGGAGCGUGUCUUACUACUAUACAAGAUACCAUCCAAAUGGAAACACCUAUCAAGUGGCGAGAACAAUCUAAUUAGCUUCUUUACCAAAAUAAAAAAAAAAUUAGACUACCUUCAAACUAUAAUUAAAAAAGAACAAAAGGGAGAAGAGUGUGUUUAUAAUCUAGCCAUGUUUAAAAACCCAUUACUAUUUUUUUAUUCACACUAUUUUACAUGCGCAAAUAAUAUGCACACUGACAUUAGUAAUUUAAGCACCUGCUUUAAAUAUUCGGAAACUGUUGACAUUAAUGAUAAAGGCUUAUGGCUGGAACGUAUAAAAAUUUAUAAAAGUAACUUUAUUAAUAGUCAAAAAACCAUACAGCAUAAAUAUAUACAUAAAAAGAACGAGGUGUAUUUUAAUAUAUGUAAUGAAGAAAAAAAAAUAAAUGAAAUAGAAGAUUUAAGUUGUGAAAAAAAAAAUUCAAGUGAUGACAAUUUUGUUGAAACAAUAGAUAAUGCAAACGAUGGGAAUGUGAAGAAAGACACUAACCCUAGGACAUGCAACCAAACCGAUAUCGACAUAAAUACAAUUUUGAACAAAAAGAAGAACAUAUUUAAUCAAAAUUGCUAUAAAAACUUUAUUAAAAAAAAAGAAAAGAAUUUUUAUUAUGAUACACCAUAUAUACUAAUAAAAAUAAAAAAAAAAAAAAAGGCCGAAAAUGCACAUUACAAUCAAAACAUAGAAAAAAAUGCUGAAGUAAAAGACUGUAGUGAAAAUGGUCAAAAUGUAAAUGAGACUAUGUUUGACAUGCGGCAGCAGUGCAAUUAUUUUCUAGACGCUUUCACUAAUAAU